rnacentral:rRNA from 1 species
UACGUAGGGGCCGAGCGUUGUCCGGAGUUACUGGGCGUAAAGCGCACGUAGGCGGCUUUCUAAGUCGGGGGUGAAAUCCUGGAGCUCAACUCCAGAACUGCCUUCGAUACUGGAGAGCUCGAGUCCGGGAGAGGUGAGUGGAACUGCGAGUGUAGAGGUGAAAUUCGUAGAUAUUCGCAAGAACACCAGUGGCGAAGGCGGCUCACUGGCCCGGUACUGACGCUGAGGUGCGAAAGCGUGGGGAGCAAACAGG